rnacentral:rRNA from 1 species
CCGCAUACGUCCUACGGGAGAAAGCGGGGGGAGUCUUCGGACCUCGCGCCAUUAGAUGAGCCUAGGUCGGGAUUAGCUAGUUGGUGAGGUAAUGGCUCACCAAGGCGACGAUCCGUAACUGGUCUCGAGAGGAUGAUCAGUCACACUGGAACUGAGACACGGUCCAGACUCCUACGGGAGGCAGCAGUGGGGAAUAUUGGACAAUGGGCGAAAGCCUGAUCCAGCAAUGCCGCGUGCAGGAUGAAGGCCUUCGGGUUGUAAACUGCUUUUGUACGGAGCGAAACGGUGAGCUCUAAUACAGUUUGCUAAUGACGGUACCGUAAGAAUAAGCACCGGCUAACUACGUG